GGCCGCGGGAAUUCGAUUCAGGCCUAACACAUGCAAGUCGAACGGAGUUAGUAUGGAAGUACCUUCGGGAAUGGAAGUGCUAACUUAGUGGCGAACGGGUGAGUAACGCGUGAGAAACCUGCCUCUCAGUGGGGGACAGCAGUUGGAAACGACUGCUAAUACCGCAUAACACUUUAGUACCGCAUGGUACAGAAGUCAAAGCUUUAUGUGCUGAGAGAUGGUCUCGCGUCUGAUUAGCUAGAUGGCGGGGUAACGGCCCACCAUGGCGACGAUCAGUAGCCGGUCUGAGAGGAUGAACGGCCACAUUGGGACUGAGAUACGGCCCAGACUCCUACGGGAGGCAGCAGUGGGGAAUAUUGGGCAAAGGGGGAAACCCUGACCCAGCAACGCCGCGUGAAGCAAUAAGGGCUUCGGGUUGUAAACUUCUUUUAGUAGGGACGAAGAAC
rnacentral:rRNA from 1 species